CUCUUCCGGGUUGGCUGGAGAGGGGACAGGGGAGCUGUCUGGAGUGGGAAGGGACCCGAGUAUGAAGAGGGUCACCCUGUUCGUGAAAGGGAGUGCCCGGACCGGCAAGGUUAUUGCUGUGCACGGCUCGUCCAUCUCCGAUCUUCUGUCCCUCGCCAGUACCAAGCUAGGAAUCCAUGCAACAGAUGUAUACAAUGACAGAGGCGGGCACAUCGAUGACAUCGCCCUCAUACGAGACAAUGAUGUCCUGUACGUGAGCGAUGGCGAGUCUCUUGCAGGUGAGUCAU